rnacentral:lncRNA from 1 species
CCAACCAAUUUUAUUUUAGAAGCCUUCAAAGACUUUAAAUUCUUGAAUUCUCUUCUUUCCUAUUCUCUUCUUCGUUUCUUUUUCAUUGCUUUGAUUGAGUAGACAUCAUUGUACGUUGUGAAUGAUAUUGCCAGAUAGUCCAAAUUCACAUAUUCUGUUCUUCCUUUCUAUCCCCAUCUUUCCUUUCCAUUUCCUCGCUACAGGUUGAGACAGAUUCAUGGUACAUUGGAAA